GGAACAAAGAAGUACUGUACACCUCUCCUUAUCUUUCAGUGCCGAGACAAGACCGAAAAAGUGUCUGAUUGUGAAGGCAGUUAAAUCCACUUUCAGUGAUCAGAAUGCUACGGUGAGGAAGGCAGUUCUUCAUUUCAUCCAGAGGCUGCUCAGCUUACAAAGUGUGGAGAACUGUGCAGCUUGGGAUAUGGUAGCACAUGUUUUCACGGAGUUCAGCGUGUCCACCAGCAAACUAGCUAUUCCGGAAGAAAACACGAUC